UACGAGGGGUGCAAGCGUUGCUCGGAAUCACUGGGCGUAAAGGGUGCGUAGGCGGGUCUUUAAGUCAGGGGUGAAAUCCUGGAGCUCAACUCCAGAACUGCCUUCGAUACUGGCGAUCUUGAGUCCGGGAGAGGUGAGUGGAACUCCGAGUGUAGAGGUGAAAUUCGUAGAUAUUCGCAAGAACACCAGUGGCGAAGGCGGCUCACUGGCCCGAUACUGACGCUGAGGCACGAAAGCGUGGGGAGCAAACAGG
rnacentral:rRNA from 1 species